CUACUAAAACUUUACCUGAAAACACCCAUCAUCAUUGGCAAAAGCGAGACACCGAUUUAUCAGGAUUUAAAAUGGACAGAAACAUGCAGUUUUGGGUCUCUCUCUUUCCAAUGGUGGGGGUGGGAAUGAUGAUAACUAAUUUAAAUCUUUUAAUUGAUACUAUUGACGAUGCCUUUAAUAGCACAGGACUUGCUAUCAGUUUGCUUAAUUAUGAGCAAGAACAGAUUAGACAGGUAGCUUUGCAAAACAGAAUAGCCUUAGAUUACUUGCUUGCAGCAGAAGGAGGAGUAUGUAAAAGAAUAGGAGGCAAGGCAUGUUGUGUGUGGAUAGAAGAUAAAUCAG